rnacentral:rRNA from 1 species
AGCUUAGUUGCCAUCAUUAAGUUGGGCACUCUAAGUUGACUGCCGGUGACAAACCGGAGGAAGGUGGGGAUGACGUCAAAUCAUCAUGCCCCUUAUGAUUUGGGCUACACACGUGCUACAAUGGACAAUACAAAGGGCAGCGAAACCGCGAGGUCAAGCAAAUCCCAUAAAGUUGUUCUCAGUUCGGAUUGUAGUCUGCAACUCGACUAUAUGAAGCUGGAAUCGCUAGUAAUCGUAGAUCAGCAUGCUACGGUGAAUACGUUCCCGGGUCUUGUACACACCGCCCGUCACACCACGAGAGUUUGUAACACCCGAAGCCGGUGGAGUAACCAUUUGGAGCUAGCCGUCGAAGGUGGGACAAAUGAUUGGGGUGAAGUCGUAACAAGG